CAGAAAAAGACCAUGUCUUAAAAAAAAAAGAGGAAGAUUUACCAUGCCUCAGAGACUAAGUGCCUUACAUUGUAAUAUAAAGUCUUUGAAUCCUCACAAUGACCCCAGGAGGUAGGUGCUGUUAUUAACAUCGUCCUUUCCUCCAUGAGGCUAAUAAGACACAGAGAGAUUAAGUGUCUUGUCCAAGGUCAUAGAGCUAGAACCUUGACUCCAGAAACAGCAUCUGCAACCCCCAACCCCCCACCCUCGCGGCCUUUUGCCUAUUCUGCAAUCUCAUGAAAUUUCCUUUCCUUCUUUGAGGCCAGGAGCUCUCCAAGGUGCUGGAGAGAGGCCCAGAAGCAGCGUAGAGAGGCAGCCCCGCCAGACCCUGCAAGACCAUAGUAAGGACCAGGAUUUUAUUUUGAGAAUUAAGGGAAACCACAGGCGUCUAAAUGAAUCACUGCUGCUUCCGCGCUGUCAUAGCCAGCACUCUGGCUGUGUCUCUAUUUAGCACUUGAGAGCUGGCUGUUUACGUGCCUACUUCUCCUUCUGGACUGGAAAUGUCUUAGAGCAGGGACUGCAUCUUAGCCAUUUUUAUAUCUUCUUCACGCUGUCCCAGUUACACAGCACAGUGCUGGCAUAUAUUAAACAUUUAGUACCUGUUUAUUGAAUGAAAUUAAAGUAGAAAUGGAUUCUUAAUUAUCUUUGAAAAAUCUCAUUUUCCGGCAGCCCAAUUAAUUUCAAAGAGACUCAGGAAUUUCUACAGUAUCAUGGCAAUAACAAUGGUAAUGUUAAUUCCGGUUACUAAGCUCUCAGUGUUACAUGCUGGGAUUUGGGCAAAACACUUUAUAUCACCCUUAGUAUAUUGAGAGAGAGGUACUCUAGGUCCUCCCAGUCACUGGUAGUCCUUUCCCAAGCAGAAGACUCACCUGGGCGAGCUUAUAAAUCCCAGAGGUUAAGGAGAAUACGAUUUCACAGGAGUGGCCACUAGGUGGUGGUGUGACACCAUCAUCACCUCGCCGUGGGCUAGUGGGCAACUUGGACCAAUUGCGCGGGGCCGGUGGAGUGGCUGGGGGCCUCUUGGGAAUCAAGAUGGCCAAGAUGGGGGUCUGUGCACCAAACUCUGUAGUUGAAGUUGAGGGCUUUCCAGUUUAUGCUGCCCAUGAGCAGAUGAAUGGAGAGGACUCUUACUAAGCCAGGGUGCAUUUUCUUCUUGUUGAAAUCUGAAAAUUAUUCACUUCAUUUCAACUCAGUUGAACAAGACAUUAUUGAGUCUCAGCUCUCACUAACACCCCCUCUGUCUUCACACCCUCUAUUUUAGACUGGAUUGGGGUGUGGGGACAGGAAGGCCACCAGUCCCAGUUCUCACAUUUAUGAAGAACAUGAUUAGGCAUUUAAUGUUGCAUUCAAAUAAGGCCAUGCAUACGAUCAUUAUAUCCCUCCCGAUGUUAAAACAGUUUAUUCGUUCUUACGAAUAAUGGUAUAUUUAAGUUGUACCAUUAUUUUUGUGCUCUUUUUUUAGCAUACCUUCGUUUUAAAAAUAUGUCAGCAUCUUUAGAUAUUGGAAGUAUUUAGGACUCCUUUCUCAAUUUUUGAAGAGCUACCUGUUUGAAGAGCAACUAAAAUGCUUGCAGUCCCAUCAAAAUAACUAAUCGACCACGCUUUCUCUGAUUUUAUUGUUUUUGCGCUUGCUAAUUUCCACUUCUGGAACAGUUUCUUCUCUGUCUUAAGUUGAUCUAUUCCUGCCUAUUCUUCAGAUUUUAGAUUGGACAUCACCUCCUGUGCAAAACAAGAGCUUGUUAGGUGCUUGCUUUUACCCCAUUGUUAUUCUUUCUACUAUGCUGUAAUUCACGAAUCCUUCUCUGUGUCCCCUAAAAGAUCAGGGGUUCUCAACUUGGGGUAUUUGGACCUUUAGGCUAUCCAUGAUAUGCCCUUAAAAUUUUGUAUUAUUUACUUACUGCCACAAUAAUACAGAAUAAGAGCAACCACAAAACCUCAGUGGCCCAUAGUAAGUGAAUAUUUGUUAUGUGUCUAGAGUCAGCUGAAAUUCAGCCAGGCAGGGGUCCUGCCACUCUUGGAUGGGCUUGUUUACACCUCUGGGAUUACCUGACUGCUGGCUGAUGGAGAUUGGCCCUUGCUGCGGCAACUGAGCCGUGUUCCACAUGCUUCCCAUCUCCCUUCUGGACUAGAAGGCUAACCCAGGAGGUCCUUCUCAUAAUGGUUGUGGAAAUGCAAAAGAUCAGGCCCCAAAAUGCAAGUCUGUUUCAUCAGCUUCUGCAUUGGCCAUUCCCACUAACAUCCCUUUGACCAAAGCAAGUUACAUGGAUGAGCUCAAAUUCAAGUGGUGGGGAAGGCCCCCCUACUCACAGAGGGAAGGUUGGCCAUGCUGCGUGGCCAAGGGCAUCAUUCAGAAAAGAGAGAAGAAUUAGGGCCAUUGCUGCUAUCUACCAUGGAUUGUAUGCCAAAAUACUGUAUAUUUUCUGGAAAGAUGAUCUAAGGCUUUUACCAAUUUCUUACUGGGACCCAUAUCUGCAAAAGUUCAAGAACCUCUGAUAUAGACCCAACUUUGAGUUUAGGGACUAUAUUUUCUUUAUUUGUAUAUCUUCAAAACCUAAAAUAUAGGGCCUUGAUCAUAACAGGCGCUCAAUAAAUGUAUGUAGAAUGAAUGAGUGCCUUUUGUAUGCAGGCCAUGUAUAGUAUUAGGUUCUGGGGAUACAGAAUUUAGCCAACCAAGGACUCUAUUCUCAAGGAGCUUCUACUAUGUGUGCUCUCUGAGAGAGCUGUUUUUCAGGGGUUGGAGUCAGGAGGCAGGUGGACAUCCUUCCGCCUCAGCCAGUAUGUGUUUGCAUCAUUAUGAUGCCUUGAGGGUGAAAUUCAAGAAAGAACAAGUUCAGGGGAAACAUAAUAAACAAAGAUGCUCAACUUCUGGGGUCCCAAAUGUGAAUUAUCCUGCAGAAACCAUAUGCUGUGCAAGUAAACAUAUAUGUGGGCAUAAAAAAAUAGAAGUGGAGACCUCAUAUUUGUUGGUGUCACAAAGUGAAUAAUGCAUUUUCUUAGCAGCUAGUUCCAGAAUCCCGGUCCAACAAGGAGAUUGCCUCUGUCCAAGAAAAUAUCUUGAUAAGCUGCUCAGGGCAGAAGGUGAGAGACCCUGAAGGCAUGGGUGUCCAGUGAAAUGAAUUGUUUAUUUUUUCCUCACAAUGCAGGAAAGAGACAAAGGAGAUAGAAGAAGUGGAAUAAGGGGAAAGAUAAGAACUGGAAAGCUGAACCAUAGCCCAGACCCAAGCAGGAGAAAGAGCAAGAAAUGCCUAUGAGAAAGCCGGAAAGAAACCCCUGGAAUUUGGAAGAAAAUGUCUAAAAGGGAAUGGCAAGGAACCUGAGGAACCAGCGUGAGGAAAACCUGGAUGAUCUGACGUCUUCCUCACUUUAUCCCUACCUGUCCACGCCUCCAUCCAUCCACCCAUCCAUCACUGAUCAAGCUCUCACUAUGUCUAUAGUGUAGAAGGUGCCACCAAAUGCAAUGGAACCUCUUGUCUCAUGUGUCUACUUGCAUCUUUAAGUUGAUACACGGAAGGCACAGUCCAAGCACAGGAUACUGGAAGCUAUGGAGGUACAGUGGCCUCUGAGCAAACUGAAAACUCUCUAUCACUAAAGGGUUGGGCAUACAGGGUAUCUCCUCUGCUCUGCCACCUACCUUGAGGAUGCUUUACAUGUGGCUAAAAGUGGAGGCAGAGAUAUUUGGAUAAAUAAAUGCUAGAGAAUUGGAAAUUCCUAGGACAAGUCAA